UACGAAGGGGGCUAGCGUUGCUCGGAAUUACUGGGCGUAAAGGGAGCGUAGGCGGGUUAUCAAGUUGGAGGUGAAAGCCCAGGGCUCAACCUUGGAAUUGCCUUCAAAACUGAUAGCCUAGAGUAUGAUAGAGGUAUGUGGAACUCCGAGUGUAGAGGUGAAAUUCGUAGAUAUUCGGAAGAACACCAGUGGCGAAGGCGACAUACUGGGUCAUGACUGACGCUGAGGCUCGAAAAGCGUGGGGAGCAAACAGG
rnacentral:rRNA from 1 species